UACGUAGGUGGCGAGCGUUGUCCGGAUUUACUGGGCGUAAAGCGCGCGCAGGCGGUUCGUUAAGUCCGGUGUGAAAGCUCCCGGCUCAACUGGGAGAGGUCAUUGGAUACUGGCGGACUUGAGGGAUGCAGAGGAAGGUGGAAUUCCCGGUGUAGUGGUGAAAUGCGUAGAGAUCGGGAGGAACACCGGUGGCGAAGGCGGGUCUCUGGGCCGAUACUGACGCUGAGGAGCGAAAGCGUGGGGAGCGAACAGG
rnacentral:rRNA from 1 species